CAUUGAUGAGGGCGACAAGCAACCAGCGACUCACUGUGGACUUCACUAAAAGAAAGAACCCUAAACUGUCAGGGAUGAAAUUCUUAACUUUUUUGUGCCGAUAAUAUGUGGAGUAUGGAAUGUUGGGGAGUUUUGUCUACGAUUGCUGCCGCCUGUCUGUUAGGUGUGGUGGUGAGCCAGACGACGGCUCCCACGAUGGCUCCUGCUGUGAUGAACACCACAUUCAUUGAGAAUGUGACGGCGACCACCAGAGUCAGUGAGACCACCACAGUCAGUGAGAAUGUGACCUUGACCACACCCAUGAUCCUCAGCACCACAUCUCCAGGCUGCUCUGCCCUCAACACCUCCACCUGUGAGACCUGUGUCCCAGGGUCCUACUCUGACAAUGACACCCUGCUGUGUUCCUGUUGCCAUGAGCCAGGGCUGUGUCUGUUCGCUGGGGCUUGCCUCCCAUGUUCGAGAGGGUUCUUUCAGCCUCUGGCUGGACAACAGCGAUGUCAGCCCUGCAGCCAGGGUUUUUACACCAAUUUUACCGGCAGCCUUAUGUGUCAGUCCUGCUCCCCAGGCUCCUACAGCAACAACACAGGCUCCGACUCCUGCCGAAGCUGUUCUCCAGGUUUCUAUACAUCACAACAAAAUGCCACAUCGUGCAGUCCAUGUCAACAGGGAACGUUUUGCAACUCCUCCAGUUGUGCUCUGUGUCAGAUCUGUCCUGCUGGUACAGAGUCUCUGCAGUCAGCUGCCAAGGAGUGCACGCCUUGUCGUCCAGGUAUGCACAAGGCUCCCCGUCAGAGUAUGUGUCAAAUCUGCAGCAGCGGCUUCUUCCAGAUCCGCUGGGGCCAGGAGACCUGUAACCUCUGCCCUGAAAACCACUACUGCCCAAGUCCAGAUGUGAACCCCAUCCUGUGCCCCGGUGAUGCUUUCUGUCCUGAAGGCAGCGCUGCUCCAGGUUACUGCAUGGAGACCUUCUUUCGCAAGGCAGGGGAGGAGUGUGAGCUGGCCCCCGUCACCAUUGCUCUACUUGUCAUUGGAGGAGGAGUGGCCCUACUCUUUGUCAUCCUGCUGGUGUUGCGUCGAAGGCGAGACACAGACGGAGAGCUUUCCCUCGUACGACAACCUCUGUUGCGCAAAGAGCGGCCGCAAGGUCGAUACUACGGGAUCCCAUGUGAUGCCGAGCCAGUAUACGCUGGUUGGUACAAAUGGGUCCAUGAAGGAUACGAAUGUAUUGCCAGCUGCAUACAAUGCGUUUGGAUAGUAAAAUGAAACAACUCAAUAUCGCCUCGCCAUCUGCUGGCCUUUGGGCUAAAACCGCCUUGACAACCGGUACGAUGAUUCUCUCGUUAACACAGGUGUGAGUGUUGACGAGGACAAGGCUGGAGAUAACUCUGUCAUGCUGAUUGAGUUCGAAUAACAGACUGGAAGCUUCAAAAAGAGGGUGGUGCAUGGAAUCAUUGUUCUACCUCUGUCAACCAAGGUUACCUGCAAGGAAACACGUGCCGUCAUCAUUGCUUUAACAGCACACGGCCUUCUGUCUUCAGAAUCAUAACACCACACGGCCUUCUGUCUCCAGAAUCAUAACACCACACAGCCUUCUGUCUCCAGAAUCAUAACACCACACGGCCUUCUGUCUCCAGAAUCAUAACACCACACGGCCUUCAGUCUCCAGAAUCAUAACACCACACGGCCUUCAGUCUCCAGAAUCAUAACACCACACAGCCUUCUGUCUCCAGAAUCAUAACACCACACGGCCUUCUGUCUCCAGAAUCAUAACACCACACGGCCUUCUGUCUCCAGAAUCAUAACACCACACGGCCUUCUGUCUCCAGAAUCAUAACACCACACGGCCUUCUGUCUCCAGAAUCAUAACACCACACGGCCUUCUGUCUCCAGAAUCAUAACACCACACGGCCUUCUGUCUCCAGAAUCAUAACACCACACGGCCUUCGGUCUCCAGAAUCAUAACACCACACGGCCUUCGGUCUCCAGAAUCAUAACACCACACGGCCUUCUGUCUCCAGAAUCAUAACACCACACGGCCUUCUGUCUCCAGAAUCAUAACACCACACAGCCUCCCUUCCACCACACCCACAUAGAGGGAUUUAGGUUGUGAUGGUAUAGCUGGAAAUGUUGUCUUGUCGUUGAAUCAAUUGUCUAAAUAAAAUGCUUCUUAAAAUGUA